rnacentral:rRNA from 1 species
UACGGAGGGAGCUAGCGUUAUUCGGAAUUACUGGGCGUAAAGCGUGCGUAGACGGUUACAUAAGUCGGGUGUGAAAGCCCCGGGCUCAACCUGGGAAUUGCAUUCGAGACUGCGUAGCUAGGGUGCGGAAGAGGGAAGCGGAAUUUCCGGUGUAGCGGUGAAAUGCGUAGAUAUCGGAAGGAACACCAGUGGCGAAAGCGGCUUCCUGGUCCAGCACCGACGUUCAGGCACGAAAGCGUGGGGAGCAAACAGG